UACGUAGGGCGCAAGCGUUAUCCGGAAUUAUUGGGCGUAAAGAGCUCGUAGGCGGUUUGUCGCGUCUGCCGUGAAAGUCCGGGGCUCAACUCCGGAUCUGCGGUGGGUACGGGCAGACUAGAGUGAUGUAGGGGAGACUGGAAUUCCUGGUGUAGCGGUGAAAUGCGCAGAUAUCAGGAGGAACACCAGUGGCGAAGGCGGUGCUCUGGGCCGGAACUGACGCUGAGGAGCGAAAGCGUGGGUAGCAAACAGG
rnacentral:rRNA from 1 species